UAACAGUAGAAACAAGAAUCCAUGUUGAAUUAGUUUGAAGAGGGAUACAAUCUCUAGCCAGAUGUCUAAUAAAAACAUAGUGAGUCAGAGAAAGCAUGUAUGCUCUUGUAAUUUGUAAUUUGCAGCAUUCCAUGGAUGAAAAGUUCACUGCAAACCAAGCUGCAUUUAACAAUUCCCUCUUCUCUCUGUUGUUCAGAACAUAGUUUCAUAGCUGAAAGUCUAGGGGGGAAGGAAGUUUUAUAUAUUCAUUCAUAUUUCAUAAUAACAGAAUAAAAGUGUAAUUCUAGUUUGGAAAGUGUGCAUCCAAAAAUGGCAACUUCUACCGGAACAGAUCUGCUUGCUGUAGCUAUUCAAAGUAGUAUCUGCUUAUUUUAGUGGCAAAAAUAUGUUUUCACUGACUAAUUUACCAUCAACAGAAUUAUAAGUUAAAUUUCAACUACAUGGCUAAAUUCUUCUGUCAUUUACACUCAAGUAGCCCACUGAGGAAACCAGUUCUUCUGCAGUCACAGAGGAAAGGGCGGGUUUUACCCCAGUAUGAGUAUUCCAGUUAUGUAUCACAAACAAGGUUCUAUAUAUAAACUGAAAUGAUGCAGAAUUUUAAAUGCUCACAAUAAUAGCUCUCUACCUGUUUUCUGUCAUAUGGACAAGAACUUGCUACUGUGUGACUGGAAACUUACCCUGGCAGCCCCACAGUGUGUUAAUGUACUGAGCAGUAAUGAAGUUACAGUGAUGGAUUUUCCUCGACUAUCACAUUUGCUGGUACUCUUCCUCCUCGGAAAUAACUAGUUCAAGGACACCAUAAGAUCUCUUUGCAUAUAAAGUGGACCUUCAGUACUCUGUGAAACUGGGUGACAAAACCCUCUGAUGUGAUGUGUUUUAUUAUUCAGCUCAGAGAGAAGGAUGGAAGAAUGGGGCCA
rnacentral:lncRNA from 1 species